rnacentral:rRNA from 1 species
GACGUGAGGGGCGAACGUUGUUCGGUGUCACUGGGCUUAAAGGGCGCGUAGGCGGCCGUGCAAGUAAGGUGUGAAAGCCCCUGGCUCACCCAGGGAAUUGCGCCUUAAACUGCAGGGCUUGAGGGCCACAGGGGUUGGAGGAACUCCAGGUGUAGCGGUGAAAUGCGUAGAUAUCUGGGGGAAGGCCGGUAGCGAAGGCGUCCAACUGGGUGGUUCCUGACGCUGAGGCGCGAAAGCGUGGGGAG